rnacentral:snRNA from 1 species
UCUCUUGCUUCUUCAAAACGUCU